GACCCGUGACGCGCCAAGCUCCGCCCCCUCCUCACCCACUGACCCAGAUACGAGGCCGCAUUCCACAGCCUUGGAGCAGGCGCGCGCUGACCCAGAUCUUGCGGCGGCGCCUCGGGCUCUCGCGCCCACGCUCUUCACGCGCGGCCUUGCUUCACAGGCAGGAAAAGUGGCUCUUCCCGCUUAUUUCCCCAAACAUUGAUGGGGCUCCCAAGUCCCAAAAGCCUCCGCCAGGGUGGCCAGUGGGGGAGGGGUUGUAGUCCAACUAAUAUCAGAAGCCACUUCUACACAGCUGUAUAAAAUCCAGGUUAUCUGCUUUGAAGUGGAUUAUAUGGUAGUGUAGACUCAGAUAAUCCAGUUCAGAGCAGAUAAUGUGGAUUAUCUGCCUUGAUAUUCUGGAUUAUAUGGCAGUGUAGAAGGGCCCUGAGGAACCUACAGCAUCACAGUGCUCUUCUCCACCUGAACUCGCUGCUCUGCAUUUUUUCCAGGGUUGCUGCAGACUCAGCAGCACUCUGACAGUUCACCAUUAGCAGAGAUUUUGCUAACCAUUCUACAAGGCCUUUGCUGCUGAAAGCUUGCAAAGUAUCCUUUUGUUGUGUUGUCGAAGGCUUUCAUGGCCGGGAUCACAGGGUUGUUGUAUGUCUUUCGGGCUGUGUGGCCAUGUUCCAGAAGUAUUCUCUCCUGACGUUUCGCCCACAUCUAUGGCAGGCAUCCUCACAACCUCUGAGGAUGCCUGCCAUAGAUGUGGGCGAAACGUCAGGAGAGAAUACUUCUGGAACAUGGCCACACAGCCCGAAAGACAUACAACAACCCUAUCCAUUUGUUCUUGAGACCGCACCUUUUCCUGGGGAUGAAAUCUCCAUUUUGAGAAGCCUCUUUUGCCUUUUACAGAAGAGAAAAGAAGUCAGAUGUGCUUGUGUGGCCAAGCCAGGCCAGCUCAGACAAGCCAUCGUAAGUACUGACCUCUUGCCUUUGAAACUGGUGCUGAACUCAGAUAGGGAAAGACCUACUCUUUCUAAUAUAGCAACUCAGCACGGGGGCAGAGAAUAUCUCAGGAUUUCUCUGCCAUUGGAAGAAGCUCCAACUACUUUGUCUCCAAGCUAGCUUUGAGCUUAGAUAGGGAAAGAUCUGCUCUUUCUAAUAUAGCAGCUCAGGGCUAGGGUAGAGAGCAUCUCAGGAUCUCUUCGCCUUUGGAGGAAGUUAGCCCAGCAGCUAAGGGGAAAAGCAAGAAAGAAACAUCUGCAUGAUUUUAUAAGUUGACUGUUUAUAUUUGUAACCUUAACUACGUGUGCCAAGUCUGUCAAGGACUUAGAGAAAAUAAAAAUCUUGUUUGAUGUUCAACUUGAAGUGGCCUUGGUUACUGGGACUCCUGAGCUUCGAAGUAAGGCCCCGCAGUUCACCUGGGCAAAGAAAGCAGCACAUCUUAUUUUACCAAAGGUGCCCGGGUGUGACGGCAUAGGAACCAUGGGGAUUGUAGUCAUGGGAUAACACUUAAUACAGUAUUAGAAAUACAAUAAUUAGAAAAAUGUUCUAUUUCUGGUUUGGAAGUGUUAUUUCCAAUUUAAUUGUGACUUGAAGGUUGGGUUUCUGAUCUGAAGGCUACCAGGUUCGAAUCCAACCUCAGGAGAGCGAGGAUGAGCUCCCUCUAUCAGCUCCAGCUCCAUGCGGGGACAUGAGAGAAGCCUCCCACAAGGUGUGUCGAUCCACAACGCCCAUGAUUCACCAGAUAGCACAGUACAGUUGGCCAUGGGAUUAUGGAAACCAUAGCCCCCAACACAUCUUGAGAGCAGUGAAUUGGCCAAAUCUGUGGCAGAUGAAAGAACAGGGCUACAAGCCUUUAUUUUCACCUCCCCAACAGUAGUCGCCACUUGCCACGGACAUUGAAAAAUGUUAUAAGGAUGAUGCACAAAAAUUAGAGGAAAAACAGGUUGGUGCUAAAUUCUUAGCAAGAGUUAUCCAAGGUACAAUAGGAAAUUGCGUAGUAAAAAAUACAAACAGAAAGUCUUCAUAAUGGCAGCACUAUUUUUUUUGGAUGAUCUGUAAUUUCAUAACGUGUUCUUUGUCCAACUGCACAAAGCAUUCUGUUGUUCAAAGCAGCCAUUUCAAAUGUUAUUUUUCUUAAACUGACUCCAAAGAAUGAAUGGACAGAAAUUUACCAAUCAUAACAGCCCCCUGCUGUGCAAAAGAAUGAAAACAUCCUCCCCCUAGAAUGUGCCUUUCUAGUGAUUGCCUUCUCCAAAGCUAUUACUUUUGUUAUUUCCUUCUCUUUCAUCCAAGUAAAUUAGCCCUAUCAGAUAACACAAACACGUGCACCAUUUUGGAAAAUAUGAUAGUAGAAUAUAUGCUUGCAUAUGCAAAUUUUACUUCUCUUUAAGCAUUUAACUAGUUUGGUAUACAGUAGAGUCUCACUUAUCCAACACUCGCUUAUCCAACGUUCUGGAUUAUCCAACGCAUUUUUGUAGUCAAUGUUUUCAAUAUAUCGUGAUAUUUUGGUGCUAAAUUCAUAAAUACAGUAAUUACUAUGUAGCAUUACUGCAUAUUGAACUACUUUUUCUGUCAAAUUUGUUGUAUAACAUGAUGUUUUGGUGCUUAAUUUGUAAAAUCAUAACCUAAUUUGAUGUUUAAUAGGCUUCUCCUUAAUCUCUCCUUAUUAUCCAACAUAUUCGCUUAUCCAACGUUCUGUCGGCCCGUUUAUGUUGGAUAAGUGAGACUCUACUGUAUUUAUUUUCCUUCACUGGAUCUUAAAACAUGAACAGGAUUUAAAAUGCUUAGCAGGAUUUUAAAACAUAUCUUCACUAGACAUUGCAGUUCAGCAGCCUAAUUUGGCAGCUACCAGAAUGGUGGCCAAGCUCUCUCUGCCUCAAUGUAGACAGCAGCAUUAUUUGAACAAGUCCAAAUGCAGUUUAAAGGCAGCAAUAUAAAUUCUUAUGGCUGACUAGAGUAGACCCAAUGAAAUCAUUACAUUUAUUCGCAUGUUGACAUACAGAAUGAUUGGUUGGAUGGGUCUAGUUAGAAGUAAUAAACAGGAUUCCAAAGAUAUAUAUAAAUAUUUAAAAGAUGUACUGUAAUUAGCCACAAUUUAACUUGAAUAUUAGAUUAAUCAGAGAACGAGACAAAACAAGUAUAUGUGAAUUUGUCAGAUGGGCCACAGGAAGUACAACUUGUUUUUAGCCUGAGGGAAUCAGGAAUUCUUUGGUCUGUAAGAUGAAAGGGAGAGAAAUGAGAUGUGUGAAAUUACCGUUGCUCAAGAUCAUGCCAAAGAAGAGAUUAAAAAUCACAUCUUUAGCAUAUUUUCAUAGAUGUCCUAGAGUCACUGAAUAAGCAAGAAAGAUCUUUAUAGGAUUGAGCAUCCCUUAUCUGGAAUUCCAGAAUCUGAAAUAUGGUACUCCAAAACCUAAUGGCCUUUGUUUUCUGAGUGUUCGGUGUACACAAACUUUUUUUUAUGCACAAAAUAAUUAAAAUGUAUUGUGCAUAAAAUAAUGUUUAAGCUAUGUUCAUAAGGUGCUCCACCUUACGGACCACCUUAUUUUUCAUAUUUAGUCUUGGGUCCCAUCUAAAAAGUCUCAUUAUAUGUUUAUAUGCAAAUACAGGUAUUCCAUCUAACAGAUGUAAUGUAAUGCAUGAAAGUGGAAGAAGACAAUAGAAUAGAAAGGACAAAAGACCUCUUCCAGAAAAUUAGAAACAUUGGAGGCAAAUUUCAAGCAAAAAUGGGUAUGAUCAAAAACAAAGAUGGUAAGGACCUAACAGAAGCUGAAAAGCAAACUGAAGAGGUAGUUGCUCUGCCUCCAUCCCCCAAACAAAUCAAGCAUUUGGAAUGUUUGUACACUUCGAAGUGUUGUCGAAGGCUUUCAUGGCCGGGAUCACAGGGUUGUUGUAUGUCUUUCGGGCUGUGUGGCCAUGUUCCAGAAGUAUUCUCUCCUGACGUUUCGCCCACAUCUAUGGCAGGCAUCCUCACAACCUCUGAGGAUGCCUGCCAUAGAUGUGGGCGAAACGUCAGGAGAGAAUACUUCUGGAACAUGGCCACACAGCCCGAAAGACAUACAACAACCCUAUCCAUUUGUUCUUGAGACCGCACCUUUUCCUGGGGAUGAAAUCUCCAUUUUGAGAAGCCUCUUUUGCCUUUUACAGAAGAGAAAAGAAGUCAGAUGUGCUUGUGUGGCCAAGCCAGGCCAGCUCAGACAAGCCAUCGUAAGUACUGACCUCUUGCCUUUGAAACUGGUGCUGAACUCAGAUAGGGAAAGACCUACUCUUUCUAAUAUAGCAACUCAGCACGGGGGCAGAGAAUAUCUCAGGAUUUCUCUGCCAUUGGAAGAAGCUCCAACUACUUUGUCUCCAAGCUAGCUUUGAGCUUAGAUAGGGAAAGAUCUGCUCUUUCUAAUAUAGCAGCUCAGGGCUAGGGUAGAGAGCAUCUCAGGAUCUCUUCGCCUUUGGAGGAAGUUAGCCCAGCAGCUAAGGGGAAAAGCAAGAAAGAAACAUCUGCAUGAUUUUAUAAGUUGACUGUUUAUAUUUGUAACCUUAACUACGUGUGCCAAGUCUGUCAAGGACUUAGAGAAAAUAAAAAUCUUGUUUGAUGUUCAA